GAUGAACGCUGACAGAAUGCUUAACACAUGCAAGUCUACUUGAAGCUAACUUCGGUUAGUGGAUGGUGGCGGACGGGUGAGUAACGCGUAAAGAACUUGCCUCACAGAUUGGGACAACAUUUGGAAACGAAUGCUAAUACCGGAUAUUAUGAUACUUCCGCAUGGAAGAAUCAUGAAAGCUAUAUGCGCUGUGAGAGAGCUUUGCGUCCCAUUAGCUAGUUGGAGAGGUAACGGCUCACCAAGGCGAUGAUGGGUAGCCGGCCUGAGAGGGUGAACGGCCACAAGGGGACUGAGACACGGCCCUUACUCCUACGGGAGGCAGCAGUGGGGAAUAUUGGACAAUGGACCAAAAGUCUGAUCCAGCAAUUCUGUGUGCACGAUGAAGUUUUUCGGAAUGUAAAGUGCUUUCAGUUGGGAAGAAGCAAGUGACGGUACCAACAGAAGAAGCGACGGCUAAAUACGUGCCAGCAGCCGCGGUAAUACGUAUGUCGCAAGCGUUAUCCGGAUUUAUUGGGCGUAAAGCGCGUCUAGGUGGUUAUAUAAGUCUGAUGUGAAAAUGCGGGGCUCAACUCCGUAUUGCGUUGGAAACUGUAUGACUAGAGUACUGGAGAGGUAAGCGGAACUACAAGUGUAGAGGUGAAAUUCGUAGAUAUUUGUAGGAAUGCCGAUGGGGAAGCCAGCUUACUGGACAGAUACUGACGCUAAAGCGCGAAAGCGUGGGUAGCAAACAGG
rnacentral:rRNA from 1 species